UUAAAGACGAAAAACGGAAGCAACUAACGUAAGGUGGACCAAAGAAGACUCCAGAGACUGGGAAAUGUUGUCAAUUUAAAAGAUUUUGUUGGACUGUUCAGUACACGCUUGUCGUGCUAGAUGACAUUCGCUGAAGUCUGAACGCAUGCAUUGAGGUCACUAAUAUUUCUUAUCCAGCUCAGAAACGUUAGCUUGCGCUAACGUGUCAUAGCCUGAAAGCGAAGGAUAGCGGGGAUGCUAAUGGUUGUCAGCCCAACUGAGCUUUGCAGACCCCACUGGGUCUGCUCAUACUCCCUGUGCCUGGGCUGAAAACAAAUGAAAGACCAUCUGCCCAGUGCUGAGGGUUUUUUGACUGGCAUUGUGUGAAAACAAGGCCUCAGAUGACCUCCAUGACCUUCAGCACAGCAUUGCUUUCUCUAAUGUGUUGAAUGUUUACACAUUUUUCUACAUUUCACAUUUGGGUGGCCAGUCUUGACUCACAAAACAAUCUGAACGCGACAACAAUGCAGAAACAAAUAAAUCGGCUUGUUUUA